UACGUAGGGGGCAAGCGUUGUCCGGAUUCAUUGGGCGUAAAGGGCUCGUAGGCGGCCAACUAAGUCGGAUGUGAAAUCCCCAGGCUUAACCUGGGAACUGCAUCCGAUACUGCCCGACUAGAGGUAGGUAGGGGAGAUCGGAAUUCCUGGUGUAGCGGUGAAAUGCGCAGAUAUCAGGAGGAACACCGGUGGCGAAGGCGGAUCUCUGGGCCUUACCUGACGCUCAGGUGCGAAAGCUAGGGGAGCGAACAGG
rnacentral:rRNA from 1 species